GCCUGUGUCCUUCAUAACUUGGGUCACAGCAGUUUCCAACAAGAAAGAGAACUGAAACAACCAGGGAAUUCCCUGGCAAGGAGAAGUCCUGCCCAGUCUGCAUCUUUCAGAAGCCAGGAGGAAUGCCCCAGGUUUGUGGGUAGGAGUAUGCAUACACAGUGCUGGUUGUUGGCUUUCCGGAGGCAGAUGGGAGCUGGAAGUCUCACGAAGGGAGAGUAAGAGCCCGAAGGAAAGCCGAUUCAUUACAAUGCUGGCUAAUACCCACAGGAACACUGAACUCCACUGUGUGGGAGCUUGAGGGGCCUGUGCUGCCCAUGCCGAGUGUCCACCAUCUCACACUGCUUCUAACACCUUCAAGCCAUCUCCUGAAUCUGGAAUAGUCAUCAUGAGCUGGAGGCUUCCUCAGAAGAACCCUAAAAUCAAGGGGGAUUCUGGUGCCAAGAAAAAUAGCCCAACCCAGCUUCACAGCUGUGAGCCUCCAAUGCGCCCCAGGAAGCUGCCAUCACCAUGGGUAGCGCGACCUGGCUUGAUUUUGCCAAAACAAAGGAAAAUUCCUCCAGCAAUUUCUGUGAAUUUGUUUUGCAAAACUGAAUUGUCUGCUUUUAAUUCCCCUAUACCAAUUAAAUAAAAAUUGGAAUUUAAAAUCCAGUGAAUGACAG
rnacentral:lncRNA from 1 species